GGAAUAUUGCACAAUGGGCGGAAGCCGGAACCAGCCAUGCCGCGUGCAGGAAGACUGCCCUAUGGGUUGUAAACUGCUUUUGUCCAGGAAUAAACCUUUCUACGUGUAGGAAGCUGAUUGUACUGGAAGAAUAAGGAUCGGCUAACACCGUGCUAGCAGCCGCGGUAAUACGGAGGAUCCGAGCGUUAUCCGGAUUUAUUGGGUUUAAAGGGUGCGUAGGCGGCCUAUUAAGUCAGGGGUGAAAUACGGUGGCUCAACCAUCGCAGUGCCUUUGAUACUGAUGGGCUUGAAUCCAUUUGAAGUGGGCGGAAUAAGACAAGUAGCGGUGAAAUGCAUAGAUAUGUCUUAGAACUCCGAUUGCGAAGGCAGCUCACUAAGCUGGUAUUGACGCUGAUGCACGAAAGCGUGGGGAUCG
rnacentral:rRNA from 1 species